UACGUAGGGUGCGAGCGUUAAUCGGAAUUACUGGGCGUAAAGCGUGCGCAGGCGGUUGUGCAAGACAGAUGUGAAAUCCCCGGGCUCAACCUGGGAACUGCAUUUGUGACUGCACGGCUGGAGUGCGGCAGAGGGGGAUGGAAUUCCGCGUGUAGCAGUGAAAUGCGUAGAUAUGCGGAGGAACACCGAUGGCGAAGGCAAUCCCCUGGGCCUGCACUGACGCUCAUGCACGAAAGCGUGGGGAGCAAACAGGAUUGAGAU
rnacentral:rRNA from 1 species